CUGAGAUUUGACAGACUAAAUAUCUAAAUAUAUCAAAUGGGAUUAAAAAAAUAAAUAAAACAAUUUUCCCAAAUGCACAAUCUGAAUUAGAUCUGGAUAAAACUUGGAUUGACAUUAAACAUGUUGACCCUGCUUACUCUCAUGUCUCUGUUUUUUUUUUCAGUUUGUGUUUUGUGUUUCAGUGCCUGGGUGAGCAUCUGUCAUGAAUUGACAAUCAGCUGCUUUUUAGGGGCAGCUGUGACAGCACGCAAGUGUCAGACUAUUCACUUGCUCACCCCCGUGUGCUCGGUACUUGUGUAUUCCUAGCUUGCCUUGUAGUUAUCUUCGUAUUGCUUCUUGUGUGCUGACUGUUUUCCUUUCCUCUGCACUCAACUAACAAUGACAAUAACAGUAAGGCGAGUGAGCAGAAAGCCCGGCUGGCGGGGGCUGGUGUCAGCGAUCCUGUCCACCGUGGUGGAAUGCAGAAAAGUCACGCCGGCUGGCGAGAGCCUAGCUGGACGUCAGGGGACGCGGAAGGAUGGUCUGUAGCUGAGCUCGCUGCACGCAUGUUAACGACUCACAACCUAAGCCGGAUGUUCGAGAGCUUGCUGAGAGAGAGAUAGGUUUGGGUUUUUGCUGCACUGGGCUGCCAGGAAGCAAGCAACUUCACAGGAUUAGUCAGAAGCAGAAGCUCCACUAUCAGCUCAAGAUGUGCUCUUCCAUCCUGCUGCUCUGCUCUGAUAAAGGGGUCUCCUCGGCGAGUGACUCAGGUGCAAUACAG